UACGUAGGGUGCAAGCGUUAUCCGGAAUUAUUGGGCGUAAAGAGCUCGUAGGCGGUUUGUCGCGUCUGCUGUGAAAACUGGAGGCUCAACCUCCAGCCUGCAGUGGGUACGGGCAAACUAGAGUGCGGUAGGGGGAGAUUGGAAUUCCUGGUGUAGCGGUGAAAUGCGCAGAUAUCAGGAGGAACACCGGUGGCGAAGGCGGGUCUCUGGGCCGAUACUGACGCUGAGGAGCGAAAGCGUGGGGGAGCGAACAGG
rnacentral:rRNA from 1 species